CGGGUGCUGCUCUUCGCGUGUGGGACACUUUUCCAGUGGCCGAUAAGCAAAUGAACGGGGGCUGGCUCUGGCAAGAUCCUGGUCUUGUUACCUGGCGCCCACCUGAGACCUCUGGCUCUCGGGAAAACACGUCACCCACGGCCGCUGCGGGCCCGCC
rnacentral:misc_RNA from 1 species